UUAUAGGUUCUUUUAAGAACCAUGCAGACUUAUUAAGACUCGUGCU
rfam:Ricinus communis cultivar Hale ctg_1100012357727, whole genome shotgun sequence.